GGAAUCUUCGGCAAUGGACGAAAGUCUGACCGAGCAACGCCGCGUGAGUGAAGAAGGUUUUCGGAUCGUAAAAUUCUGUUGGUAGAGAAGAACGUUGGUGAGAGUGGAAAGCUCAUCAAGUGACGGUAACUACCCAGAAAGGGACGGCUAACUACGUGCCAG
rnacentral:rRNA from 1 species